rnacentral:rRNA from 1 species
AGUGAACGCUGGCGGUAGGCCUAACACAUGCAAGUCGAACGGCAGCACAGUAAGAGCUUGCUCUUACGGGUGGCGAGUGGCGGACGGGUGAGGAAUACAUCGGAAUCUACUUUUUCGUGGGGGAUAACGUAGGGAAACUUACGCUAAUACCGCAUACGACCUACGGGUGGAAGCAGGGGAUCUUCGGACCUUGCGCGAUUGAAUGAGCCGAUGUCGGAUUAGCUAGUUGGCGGGGUAAAGGCCCACCAAGGCGACGAUCCGUAGCUGGUCUGAGAGGAUGAUCAGCCACACUGGAACUGGGACACGGUCCAGACUCCUACGGGAGGCAGCAGUGGGGAAUAUUGGACAAUGGGCGCAAGCCUGAUCCAGCCAUACCGCGUGGGUGAAGAAGGCCUUCGGGUUGUAAAGCCCUUUUGUUGGGAAAGAAAAGCAGCAGGUUAAUACCCCGCUGUUCUGACGGUACCCAAAGAAUAAGCACCGGCUAACUUCGU